rnacentral:rRNA from 1 species
CCUACGGGGGGCAGCAGUCGAGAAUCAUUCACAAUGGGGGAAACCCUGAUGGUGCGACGCCGCGUGGGGGAAUGAAGGUCUUCGGUUUGUAAACCCCUGUCAUGUGGGAGCAAAUUAAAAAGAUAGUACCACAAGAGGAAGAGACGGCUAACUCUGUGCCAGCAGCCGCGGUAAUACAGAGGGCUCAAGCGUUGUUCGGAAUCACUGGGCGUAAAGCGUGCGUAGGCUGUUUCGUAAGUCGUGUGUGAAAGGCGCGGGCUCAACCCGCGGACGGCACAUGAUACUGCGAGACUAGAGUAAUGGAGGGGGAACCGGAAUUCUCGGUGUAGCAGUGAAAUGCGUAGAUAUCGAGAGGAACACUCGUGGCGAAGGCGGGUUCCUGGACGUUAACUGACGCUGAGGCACGAAGGCCAGGGGAGCGAAAGGGAUUAGAUACCCGGGUAGUC